UUACCUCCCUCCCAAAUUUCCCAAUGUUCGAAUUUUCCUCACCUUCCUUAGUUCUCCCCACCUUCGCGCAACUCAUCUCCUCUCUUCCACCGUCACCACGGCCGAUGAGCAUGGCUUCUCGUCAUCACCGACCUCACCAUAAUAAUUGUAAUACAACUAGUAUGCAUCUUGAAGCUCUUUUUUUCGUUGGAUUUCGCAAGGGUUCGAGUCUAGAUCUAUAGUGAUUGUGCUCUGAGAAAAUCAUGGCAUUGGUGGUAAGGUUGAAAAAUCAGAAGGUUUUUCUCCAAAUAGCUUCGAUCGAGUUCUUCUUGAUGCUCCUUGUUCUGCUCUGGGUUUGAGACCUCGACUAUUUGUUGGAGAUGUAGGAUAUUUUCCUGGAUUUCAUUUUAUUUUUGUAUAUUAUUAUUAUUUUUUCUUACAGUUAUGUAUUUCUUCUUGAUGCUCCUUGUUCUAUGUUUUUUAUCUCGGUGGUUGGCUUCUUAUC